AAAAUGUACAAAUAAACAGUAGAAGGGCAGUGAAAUUGAU
rnacentral:guide_RNA from 1 species